UUUUUUCAAUGCAUUGAAAGUGAAAGAAGAGUAAGACAUCAAAACUAGCUCAGUGAGCCUGUGAGAAGCCAUGGAGGGAGUGGGUAGAGGCACUUUAGAAAAAGGAAGGAGAGUUGUAAUUUGGUGGUGGCUAAUGGCCUGUAGACUAUUGCACUCAUCCAAACUCUCUGAAGCAUUCCUGUCUCAGCAGUAGGAACUGCAGCAUCUUACCUGUUCACAUAAGUGGCGCUCUGCCUUAUGUCCGGAGUCUGUUUUGCUCUUUGCAUAUCAGAGUUGGUACCUGCUUUAAUCCCUGUGCCAUGAGAGCGCAGCUUUGGAGAUCUGGCUAGAACUGCCACUAACUUAGGAUGGAGCUCCCAGCUCACUCUCACCAACCUCCUCUACAGAAAUGGCAGACCUGUUCUGAAUCUGAGUAAAUUUUGCAAUUGCACAAUGCUGACAGAUUUCCUGGGUGCCACCUACCUCCCUGGGACACCCAAACCUUCCCUGCUCCUGAGUGCUCUGUCAGGUGUAAGGUUACUCAUCUCUUACCACCUCCCAGACACAACUGUGACUUUCCAUGACCUUCUCCCCACAACUGCUUGUCUCAACUACCACUUCUUUUUGUUGAUAACUCCCAGGACAUGAUAUCCUUCUAAUUGCUAAGUCUUAUCUUACUAGAACGUUCUCUAGCAUUGGACAGUGCUGACUACUCCCUCCUUGGAAAGUUCUCCAUUGGCUUACAUGACUCUACUCUCCUGGUUUGCUUCUCAGUUUCUGUUGUAGGCUCUUCUUUUUCUGCCUCCUCUUAAAUGAACAUAUUCUUUAGGGAUCUCUCCUUGGUACUCUUCUUGUUUUGACUCUUUACACUCAUGCUGGCAACCUUAUCUUCAUUCCUUUGGCUUCAGUUAGGACCCAUAUGCUUAAGUCCUAACUUUCUCCUGUUCACAUUUUUCUGACCUCCAACUAUUC
rnacentral:lncRNA from 1 species